CCUAGAGUUGCGGGCUUUGCCUGCUAUCUCUUACCCAUGUCUUUUGAGUACUUACGUUUCCUCGGCGGGUCCGCCCGCCGAUUGGACAAUUUAAACCAUUUGCAGUUGCAAUCAGCGUCUGAAAAACUUAAUAGUUA
rnacentral:misc_RNA from 1 species